rnacentral:lncRNA from 10 species
CAAAUGUUGGUUUGUUUCUUUCUGCAUUGUAUAUUCACCUGAAUAAAUGCCCAUAGGUCCUUUUGGGGAAGGACUGGGGAGAUCAUCACAAUAGAUGUUUGCAGUGGUGUCCUCCCUCCUGGUGUCCUCCCUCCUAGCAACCUCCUAGCAAUCUUCAGUCAAUGGUUUCUGGAUUGGAAAACUGGCUCAGGACUGGACAGUGAGCAGAGAUGAGAGUCAAAAAGCAUGCUAGGGAUCACCUGCUUGCUGCUGCCUUAUAACCAUGUAUGUCGGACUUCAGGCCUGCUGGAGUGUCUUUGCUACAGUCGUGAGAGACUUGGGGGAAGAGACCACAUCCAGGAACCAUGAAUAUGUAAUGAUGGAUUUGUGCCACAGGAGGGUGGUUCUUGGAGCCAUCACCCACACAGGGUCACGAAGGUGGCUGAACUGGGAAGAACCUGCACCAGGGAAGUCAGCCCGAUAGUCAUACUGUGAAUAGAACUUUAGUUUCAGUGAAGCAUCCACUUGUCACAUUAAGUUAAUGUGAUUCACUUAAAUGGUUAUUGUUUGGGGGUAAAUUUGAUUUGUAAACUUUGGGGGAAGGCUGUAAAAUUAUCUAAUAAGCUAUAGCUCAAAUAUAUUUUAAAACCCUCAGUGGCUUCUCAUUACCCUUUAGAACAGAGUCUAAGCCACUUAGUAGGCCAAAAAGACCAUACAUUAUCUGACCACUGAUUAGCUUUUCAAGCUCAUCUUCUGUCGGUUCAGUUUUUUGUUGUUGUUGUUGCAGGCAUGAAGACCUCUGUCCUGUUCCUCACACAAACCAAGUCAAGCUUGCUCCUGAUUCACAGACUUUAACACUUGCUCCCUCUGUCCUCCAUCUUCACAGGGCUAACUACUUUUGAAGAUUCGUAUCUAUUAAAGUGUCCCCUCCUCAGGGCAGACUGUCCUAGUCACCCAGCUCAAACAGUUCUUCCAAACCCCCAUCACUCUCCAGAUCUGUUUCAUUUUUUUUUGCAACAUUCAUUCCUAUCUGAAUAUUUAUUAUAUGAAAUCAGUCCUCAUUUUUUAUGGAUUCCAUGGUUGCAAAUUCUCUUACUUUCUGAAAUUUACUUGUAACCCCAAAAUAAAUAUUCCUAGAUCAUUCAUGAAUAAGCAAAGAGUGGCAAAAAAUUUGAGUCCCCUGAUGUACCUGUUCCCAGCUCAGACAGAAUAAGACUACACUCCUUUCUUGUUUCAGCUCUCAUAUUGUAAACAAAUAUCUUUUUUUUGUUGCCUAUUUGGUGCCAUGGUUUUUGCAUUUUUUUUUUUCGAUUUCACUGUUUGGAAUGGCCCCAAGCAUAGUGCUGAAGUGCUGUCUAGUGUUCCUAAGUGCCAGAAGGCUGUGAUGUGCCCUACUGGAAAAAUACAUGUGUUAAACAAGCAUCCUUCAGGCAUGAGCUAUUGGCUAAGGAUCCAAUGUCAAUGAACCAACAAUACACAUUAAAUCAAGUGUCUUUAAACAGAAACACACAUACAAUAAGAUAAUGUAUUCAUAGGCUGAUGAAAAUGUUGUAACCAGAAGGUCGUAGGAAUCAAAUCCAGUAUCUCCCUCAGAAGCAAUGGUUCAUUUAGUAUUUGUCAGUUUGGCAUUUGUGGCAACUUUAUAGAAUACAACUGUUGUACAUAACAAGAAUUAACUGGCCAGGUGCGGUGGCUCACUCCUGUAAUCCUAGCACUUUGAGAGGCCGAGGCUGGUGGAUCACCUGAGGUCAGGGGUUCCAGACCAGCCUGGCCAACAUGGUGAAACCCUGUCUCCACCAAAAAAAAAAAAAAAAAAAAAAAUUAGCCAGGCAUGGUAGCACAUGCCUGUAAUUUCCUGCCUCAGGAGGCUGAGGCAGGAGAAUCGCUUGAACCCAGGAGGUGGAGGUUGCAGUGAGCUGAGAUCGCACUGCUGCACUCCAAACUGGGCGACAGAGUGAGACUCCGUCUCAAAAAAACAUAAUUAACUAUAUUUGUUUCUUUGGUUUCCACACUGUUUCUUCCCACCAGAAUAAACAGUUUGUGAAGUCGGGGGGGUUUUGUCUGCCCUUGUCACUGUGAUACUCCCAGUAACUGAACUAUAGUAAGCUCUCAAUAAAUGGUCAUGUAUUGAAUGAAUAAGUAUAAGGAAUGUAUAACUUGUUCUUUGUCUAGAUGUAUUUAAGUUACAUGAAACUAACUUCAGGCAAUACUAAAGGUGGACAAAACAUCUCUUUUUAAAGAAGUUCUAUUGAUUACACAAGUUUGAGUAGUAAGAUGUAGGCUAUGAACCUGUUGGCACCAGAGAUCGUGUCACGUUUCUAUUCUUAUCAAAGUUAAAAACACAAAGCAUGAAUUUAAAAACACAUUACGUUCUCCAUGAAUGCUGG